AACGAACGCUGGCGGCGCGUCUUAAGCAUGCAAGUCGAACGGUAAGGGAGAGCUUGCUCUCCCCUAGAGUGGCGGACUGGUGAGUAACGCGUGGGUGACCUGCCCUGAAGAUGGGGAUAGCUAGUAGAAAUAUUAGAUAAUACCGAAUGUGCUCAUUUACAUAAAGGUAAAUGAGGAAAGGAGCUACGGCUCCGCUUCAGGAUGGGCCCGCGUCCCAUUAGCUGGUUGGUGAGGUAAAGGCCCACCAAGGCAACGAUGGGUAUCCGGCCUGAGAGGGUGAACGGACACAUUGGGACUGAGAUACGGCCCAAACUCCUACGGGAGGCAGCAGCUAAGAAUCUUCCGCAAUGGACGAAAGUCUGACGGAGCGACGCCGUGUGAAUGAAGAAGGCCGAAAGGUUGUAAAAUUCUUUUGCAGAUGAAGAAUAAGAAGAAGAGGGAAUGCUUCUUGAUGACGGUAGUCAUGCGAAUAAGCCCCGGCUAAUUACGUGCCAGCAGCCGCGGUAACACGUAAGGGGCGAGCGUUGUUCGGAAUUAUUGGGCGUAAAGGGUAUGUAGGCGGUUAGGUAAGCCUGGUGUGAAAUCUACGAGCUCAACUCGUAAACUGCAUUGGGUACUACUUGACUUGAAUCACGGAGGGGAAACCGGAAUUCCAAGUGUAGGGGUGGAAUCUGUAGAUAUUUGGAAGAACACCGGUGGCGAAGGCGGGUUUCUGGCCGAUGAUUGACGCUGAUAUACGAAGGUGCGGGGAGCAAACAGGAUUAGAUACCCUGGUAGUCCGCACAGUAAACGAUGUACACUACGGUGUCGGGGCAAGAGCUUCGGUGCCGACGCAAACGCAUUAAGUGUACCGCCUGGGAAGUAUGCCCGCAAGGGUGAAACUCAAACGAAUUGACGGGGGCCCACACAAGCGGUGGAGCAUGUGGUUGAAUCCGAUGAUACGCGAGAACCUUACCUGGGUUUGACAUCAGAGCAAUGACGACACAUAUGGCAGCGUAGCAAUACGGCUCUUGACGCGUGCUGCAUGGCUGUGAUCAGCUCGUGCCGUGAGGUGUUGGGGUAAGCUCCGCACCGAGC
rnacentral:rRNA from 1 species